UACGAAGGGGGCUAGCGUUGUUCGGAGUUACUGGGCGUAAAGGGCGCGUAGGCGGCGCACCAAGUCAGGCGUGAAAGCCCUGGGCUCAACCCGGGAAUUGCGCUUGAGACUGGUGUGCUUGAGUACGGGAGAGGAUAGUGGAAUUCCCAGUGUAGAGGUGAAAUUCGUAGAUAUUGGGAAGAACACCGGUGGCGAAGGCGGCUCUCUGGACCGUAACUGACGCUGAGGCGCGAAAGCGUGGGGAGCAAACAGG
rnacentral:rRNA from 1 species